GGGGAGGGCUACCUUAUGAUCGAGGGGCUCUAAGAGAGGCACUCUGGUUCCUGGUUGUAAAAAGCCAAAAUGGCGACGGCCGUAAUCAUAAAUGGCCUGAACGCCAAACUCGCUGCCGUCCAAAAGCAAAAUGGUUUGAACCCGCCCACUCUCUCAUGAAUAUGAAAUAUGUCGUGUGUGUUUAUGAGCGUGCGCGUGGCAGAGAGCGUGAUGAUCAUCCGCGAUGCCGUCUGCAGUGACGUUGCCAGUAAACUUCACACGUUGACGUCUUUGCCCAACAGAUGGAUGCUUGCUCCAUUGAGGAAGGCUCACAGUGUAAUGUCUGCCAAGUUAUGUGUGUGUGUGUGUGUGUGUGUGUGUGUGUGUGUGUGUGUGUGUGUGUGCGUUCCUUUCUUCAGACAAAGUAUGUUAAUCCUCACGUGGCGUUCCCACCAUUCCUCUGGCAUUGUUUUUAGACGUAGUGGGACUGACUGAUGUCCCUAUAUGAUUUCAUCCAAACCACACUAGUGGGGCAUUGUUUUCCAUUCGAUUCAUCAGCUGAUGAGACCUCAUUUGUCCCUGCAUCAUUUAGCGUGACUAACUUAUGAAUGGAAAGUGGUAAACACGUCACAAAUGUGAUGCACAACCUCAGAAGUUCUCGGUUUGUGUGCAGGAUAAAUAUUUAUAGCGGUAGUUUGGUACAUAUAAGCUAGAAAUAAUUACCUUUCAAUUCAAUUCAAUUUAUUUUAUAUAGCCCAAAAUCGCAAAUUACAAAUUUGCCUCAGAGGGCUUUACAGUCUGUACACAUACGACAUCCUCUGUCCCGAAACCCCCCAUCGGCAGAGGAACAACUCCCCAAAAAAUUAAAAAAACCUUCCAAGAGGGAAAAAAAGAAACCUUAGGGAGAACGUCAGAGGAGGGAUCCCACUCCCGGGAUGGACAGACUACAAUGGAUGCCAUGUGUACAGAAUGAACAAUGUAUAAUACAUGCAAUUAUAUGACAGAAAUGAUUCAAGUAAUUGUGAGUAGUAAGCCAGGCACACAGCAGGACCACUGCAGGGGCAACCACCAUCAGAUAGAACCACCAUCACAUAGAACCACCAUCAGAUAGAACCUCCAUCGUAUAGAACCACCAUCAGAUAGAACCACCAUCAGAUAGAACCACCAUCAGGUAGAACCACCAUCCACAUAGAACCACCAUCAGAUAGAACCACCAUCCACAUAGAACCACCAUCAGAUAGAACCAACAUCAGAUAGAACCACCAUCCACAUAGAACCACCAUCCACAUAGAACCACCAU
ensembl:lncRNA